CAGUAGCCGCGGUAAUACGAAGGGUGCAAGCGUUAAUCGGAAUUACUGGGCGUAAAGCGUGCGUAGGCGGUGAGUUAAGUCUGCUGUGAAAUCCCCGGGCUCAACCUGGGAAUGGCAGUGGAUACUGGCUCGCUAGAGUGUGUCAGAGGAUGGUGGAAUUCCCGGUGUAGCGGUGAAAUGCGUAGAGAUCGGGAGGAACAUCAGCGGCGAAGGCGGCCAUCUGGGACAACACUGACGCUGAGGCACGAAAGCGUGGGGAGCAAACAGGAUUAGAUACCCGGGUAGUCCCUGUCUCUUAUAC
rnacentral:rRNA from 1 species